UACAGAGGUGCAAACGUUGUUCGGAAUUACUGGGCGUAAAGCGCGUGUAGGCGGCCAGCAAGUCGGAUGUGAAAGCCCGCGGCUCAACCGUGGAAGUGCACUCGAAACUGCCUAGCUAGAGUCUCGGAGAGGAAGGUGGAAUGCUUGGUGUAGAGGUGAAAUUCGUAGAUAUCAAGCAGAACACCUGUGGCGAAGGCGGCCUUCUGGACGAUGACUGACGCUGAGACGCGAAAGCGUGGGGAGCAAACAGG
rnacentral:rRNA from 1 species